rnacentral:rRNA from 1 species
UUAUUUCCAAAGAUCCCCGAGGGAAAGUUGCAAAGAACUUUGAAGAGAGAGUUCAAGAGGGCGUGAAACCGCUUAGAAGGAAACGGAUGGAGCAGACGUCAGUCCUUGGGAUUCAGCUUGGCGUAUGUGGAAAGCACUUGUACCUGAUCAAUGUCUCUGACAGGUGGUUUGUGCCGUCACUCCAUGUACCCAGGUGCACUUCCCAGGGAUCGUGUCAAAGGCAGUGAGUGUGUCACGUUGGCCUGCAGUUGGUGGCUCCCGGCUUCGGUUGGGAGUGUCUCGCUGGAGUGUCUAGUGUGGUCGCGCUUACUGUGAAGAUAAGAGUGCCCGACUCUAUCUCGUUGACUGUUGGCAUUUGCGCUGAUGUUGUGCAAGUAACCGGCUUCUGGACUUGCCUCAUUGGUGUAAGUGUUCCCGGCAGGAUUCGAGAGGUGCUCUGCUUUGGCAUCUUGUCUGUUACCCAUCCGACCCGUCUUGAAACACGGACCAAGGAGUCUAACAUGGGCGCGAGUUACUGGGUUGCAAAACCUAAGAGCGUAAUGAAGGUGAAGGCUGGCUUAAGUCAGCUGAUAUGGGAUCCGUGGCUUUGCUGCGGCGCACCAUAGUCCCGCCCUUUGUGCAUUGCCACUGGGGCGGAGAUAGAGCGUGCAUGUUGGGACCCGAAAGAUGGUGAACUAUGCCUGAGCAGGUUGAAGCCAGAGGAAACUCUGGUGGAGGACCGUAGGAGUUCUGACGUGCAAAUCGAUUCCUGGACUUGGGUAUAGGGGCGAAAGACUAAUCGAACUAUCUAGUAGCUGGUUCCCCUUCCAGA